GAAGAUGGACUUAUUGAUUUCUAUAUUCUUCCUCUAGCAUCAUGAAAUUUGACCUCUUCAGCCGUGCAUGGUUAACACUCCAUCUAUCUGAGUAAGUCCUGCCUUGAAGAAUCGUGAGUGCAAACCAGUUUGAGAGAGAAGAGGAAAAAUAAAUGAGUCGUGCUCUGUCUUCCAGGCUGGAAUGCAGUGGUAUGAUCACAACUCACAACUUACUGCAUCCUCUACCUCCUGAGCUCAAGGGGAAUCCUUCCACUUCAGCCUCCAAGGUGGCUGGGACCAUAGAUACACUCCACUACUCAAAGUUUAGCAACCACUCAAGGAAAUUUAAAACACUAAAUUUCUGGACUUGCCAGACUAAGGGCCAGACUCUGGACCUCACCAAAUUCAUCAAGGUAAUGUAACCCUGAAAUAUUCUUUUUAGUAACCAGUAUGCUUGUGGACACUUAAUUCUUUUAACAUCAAUAGCAUUUAUUGAUUGUUGCCAUUGGACCCAUCCUUAUGACCAUCUUAACAUCUCCUUCCCCAGCAAAAAAACAAAACAAAACAGAACAAAAAAAACUAAAAACAAAUAAUGCUUCACAUUAAAAAUAUGCCAUUUUCUCUCCUGUUCCUAGGGGACUUCCCUUGCUAUGAGUAUCUUGCUGGUCAGUAGAAGCAGAAAGAAUCUCAGAUGACUCUGCUUUCUUGGGAAGCACUUUGUAAAAUACAAUUUUCAAAAAGAAAAAAUAUAUAAAAUU
rnacentral:lncRNA from 1 species